CCCUUUCACUUCCCCCACUUCUUUCCAUAACCAACAGUCUGAAUAUAAAACUUUGCUCACCCAUCCUUUCCACAAGACAUUUAUGAUUUAAGCUUCAAGAGUCUUCGUGGGAGAACUCUCCCCUCUUCUUAUUGCAAUAGCCUUCUUAAUGUGUUUCAAGUUCAUGUCCAGUUUGGAUGCUUUCCUACAGCAGUAACAAUGUCAUAACUUGAACAGAAUUCACCCCUCAAUUGUUGUUUUUCUACAACAUGCCAAGACUUGGACAGAAUGCUGAUUCCCGUUCUGCUCUCCUCACCCAAGUGAUAAUACCAUCUUACUGAACUCUUUGCAACCUGUUUUGGAAAGCCAAAUCCACAACGGUUUAUUAAUAAAAGAAGCAUCCAUCCUAAUGUUAUGAGCAAGCUACCUUUUGUCCUGUCGAGUGGUUGCGGUAUAGAACCAUAAAAGCCUGAACAUGAAACAUCUCAGACCAUUUCCCCUGUCUUCUACAGUGAUGAUCUAACUGGCAUGGGAUGAAGGAUGAUUGAUGGGGCAUGUCUUUUUGUAUGCUGCAAAUAUGUGUUGCUCAAAUUGGUUGAUAAAUAAAAUUUUGGCCUAUGGCAAGGCAGCUUAAAGG